rnacentral:rRNA from 1 species
AUACGGAGGGUGCAAGCGUUGUUGGGAAUCACUGGGCGUAAAGGGCGCGCAGGCGGUUUGGUAAGUCAGAUGUGAAAGCCCACGGCUCAACCGUGGAAGUGCAUUUGAAACUGCCAGACUUGAGUACCAGAGGGGAAAGUGGAAUUCCCGGUGUAGAGGUGAAAUUCGUAGAUAUCGGGAGGAAUACCGGUGGCGAAGGCGACUUUCUGGCUGGAUACUGACGCUGAGGCGCGAAAGCGUGGGGAGCAAACAGGAUUAGAUACCCCAGUAGUCC